GGUUCGAUUAUGGCUCAGAUUGAACGCUGGCGGGAUGCUUUACACAUACAAGUCGAACGGCAGCACGGACUUCGGUCUGGUGGCGAGUGGCGAACGGGUGAGUAAUGUAUCGGAACGUCCUGAAGUAGCGAGGAUAACUACGCGCGGCGUAGCUAAUACCGCAUACGCCCUUCAGGGAAAGCGGGGACCUUCGGGCCUCGCACUGUCGAGCUGUGAUAUCCGGAUUAGCUAGUUGGUGGGGGUAACGGCUCACCAAGGCGACGAUCCGUAGCUGGUUUGAGAGGACGACCAGCCACACUGGGACUGAGACACGGCCAGACUCCUACGGGAGGCAGCAGUGGGGAAUUUUGGACAAUGGGGAAACCUAGUCCAGCCAUCCCGCGUGUGCGAUAGAGCCUUCGGGUUGUAAAGCACUUUUGGCAGGAAAAGAAACGGCACAGGAUAAUACCCCGUGCAACUGACAGCUCACCUGCAGAAUAAGCACCGGCCCCCCAACGUGCCAGCAGCCGCGGUAAUACGUAGGGUGCAAAGCGUUAAUCAGGAAUUACUGGGCGUAAAGCGCAGGCGGUUCGGAAAGAAAGAUGUUGAAAUCCCAGAGCUUAACUUUGGAACUGCAUUUUUAACUACCGGAAAGCUGAGAGUGUGUCAGAGGAGGGCAGUUCAUGAUGUAGCAGUGAAAUGCGUAGAUAUGCGGAACACCGAUGGCGAAGGCGGCCUCCUGGGAUAACACUGACGCUCAUGCACGAAAGCGUGGGAGGCAAACAGGAUUAGAUACCCUGGUAGUCCACGCCUAAAACGAUGUCAGCUAGCUGUACAGGGCGGGCCUUGGUGGCGCAGCUAACGCGCGUGAAGUUGACCGCCUGGGAGUACGGUCGCAAGAUUAAAACUCAAAGGAAUUGACGGGGACGCACAAGCGGUGGAUGAUGUGGAUUAAUUCGAUGCAACGCGAAAAACCUUACCUACCCUUGACAUGUCUGGAAUCCCGAAGAGAUUUGGGAGUGCUCGCAAGAGAACCGGAACACAGGUGCUGCAUAGCUCGUCAGCUCGUGUCAGCUGAAUGUUGGGUUAAGUCCCGCAACGAAGCUGCAACCCUUGUCAUUGGAUUUAUACGAAAGGGCACUCUAAUGAGACUGCCGGUGACAAACCGGAGGAAGGUGGGGAUGACGUCAAGUCCUCAUGGCCCAUAUGGGUAGGGCUUCACCCCGUCAUCUGGUCGGACAGAGGGUCGCCAACCCGCGAGGGGAGGCCAAUCCCAGGGAAACCCGAUCGUAGUCGGAUCGCAGUCUGCAACUCGACUGCGUGAAGUCGGAAUCCUUUAGUAAUCGCGGAUCAGCAUGUCGCGGUGAAUACGUUCCCGGGUCUUGUACACACCGCCCAUCACACCAUGGGAGUGGGUUUUGCAAGUAGUUAGCCUAACCGUAAGGAGGGCGAUUACCACGGUAGGAUUCAUGACUGGGGUAGAGUCGUAACAGGUAG
rnacentral:rRNA from 1 species